rnacentral:rRNA from 1 species
GUAAACGGCGGCCGUAACUAUAACGGUCCUAAGGUAGCGAAAUUCCUUGUCGGGUAAGUUCCGACCCGCACGAAAGGCGUAAUGAUUUGAGCGCUGUCUCGACAAUGCACCCGGUGAAAUUGAAGUACCAGUGAAGAUGCUGGUUACCUGCGCCAGGACGGAAAGACCCCAUGGAGCUUUACUCCAGCUUGAUACUGGGAUUCGGUACUGCAUGUACAGGAUAGGUGGGAGGCUUUGAAUCAUGGACGCCAGUCUGUGAGGAGCCGCUGUUGGGAUACCACCCUUGCGGUAUUGGAUUUCUAACCUGCAGCCAUGACCUGGCUGGGGGACAAUGUCAGGCGGGGAGUUUGACUGGGGCGGUCGCCUCCGAAAGGGUAUCGGAGGCGCUCAAAGGUUCCCUCAGAAUGGUUGGAAACCAUUCGAAGAGUGCAAAGGCAGAAGGGAGCUUGACUGCGACACCGACGGGUGGAGCAGGUACGAAAGUAGGACUUAGUGAUCCGGUGGUAUGAAAGUGGGAUUGCCAUCGCUCAACGGAUAAAAGCUACCCUGGGGAUAACAGGCUUAUCACUCCCAAGAGUUCACAUCGACGGAGUGGUUUGGCACCUCGAUGUCGGCUCAUCGCAUCCUGGGGCUGAAGUAGGUCCCAAGGGUUGGGCUGUUCGCCCAUUAAAGCGGUACGCGAGCUGGGUUCAGAACGUCGUGAGACAGUUCGGUCCCUAUCCGGCGUGGGCGUAGGAUAUUUGAGAGGAGCUGUCCUUAGUACGAGAGGACCGGGAUGGACUGACCUCUGGUGUACCGGUUGGGUAUCAAACCCAUGGCCGGGUAGCCAAGUCGGGAAGGGAUAAACGCUGAAGGCAUCUAAGCGUGAAGCCCCCCUCAAGAUGAGAUAUCCCAUCGCAAGAGUAAGACCCCUUGAAGACGACGAGGUAGAUAGGGCAGAGGUGGAAGCAUGGCAACAUGUGUAGCUGACUGUCACUAAUAGGUCGAGGGCUUAACCAA